rnacentral:rRNA from 1 species
GACGAACGCUGGCGGCGUGCCUAAUACAUGCGAGUCGAACGCUUCUUUCCUCCCGAGUGCUUGCACUCAAUUGGAAAGAGGAGUGGCGGACGGGUGAGUAACACGUGGGUAACCUACCCAUCAGAGGGGGAUAACACUUGGAAACAGGUGCUAAUACCGCAUAACAGUUUAUGCCGCAUGGCAUAAGAGUGAAAGGCGCUUUCGGGUGUCGCUGAUGGAUGGACCCGCGGUGCAUUAGCUAGUUGGUGAGGUAACGGCUCACCAAGGCCACGAUGCAUAGCCGACCUGAGAGGGUGGUCGGCCACACUGGGACUGAGACACGGCCCAGACUCCUACGGGAGGCAGCAGUAGGGAAUCUUCGGCAAUGGACGAAAGUCUGACCGAGCAACGCCGCGUGAGUGAAGAAGGUUUUCGGAUCGUAAAACUCUGUUGUUAGAGAAGAACAAGGACGUUAGUAACUGAACGUCCCCUGACGGUAUCUAACCAGAAAGCCACGGCUAACUACGUG